rnacentral:rRNA from 1 species
CCUACGGGAGGCAGCAGUAGGGAAUAUUGGGCAAUGCUCGCAAGAGUGACCCAGCCAUGCCGCGUGCAGGAAGAAGGCCUUUGGGUUGUAAACUGCUUUUGGAAGGGAACGUGUACCUUCAGAAUAAGCACCGGCUAACUCCGUGCCAGCAGCCGCGGUAAUACGGAGGGUGCAAGCGUUGUCCGGAUUUAUUGGGUUUAAAGGGUGCGUAGGCGGCUUAUUAAGUCAGGGGUGAAAGACUGCAGCUCAACUGUAGCAGUGCCUUUGAUACUGAUGAGCUUGAGUACAGAUGAGGCUGGCGGAAUGGGUGGUGUAGCGGUGAAAUGCAUAGAUACCAUCCAGAACACCGAUUGCGAAGGCAGCCGGCUAAACUGUACUGACGCUGAGGCACGAAAGCGUGGGGAUCGAACAGGAUUAGAUACCCUAGUAGUC